rnacentral:rRNA from 1 species
ACUGCUAUCGGAUUGAUACUAAGCCAUGUGAGUCAUUGUAGCAAUACAAGGCAGACGGCUCAGUAACACGCAGCCAAUCUAACCUAUGGACGGGGAUAACCUCGGGAAACUGAGAGUAAACCCCGAUAGAUCAUUAUGCCUGGAACGGUUAAUGGUCCAAAUGAUUCGUCGCCGCAGGAUGAGACUGCGGCUUAUCAGCUUGUUGGUGAGGUAAUGGCCCACCAAGGCUAUUACAGGUACGGGCUCUGAGAGGAGAAGCCCGGAGAUGGGUACUGAGACACGGACCCAGGCCCUAUGGGGCGCAGCAGGCGAGAAACCUUUGCAAUGUGCGCAAGCACGACAAGGUUAAUCCGAGUGUUUCCUGCUAAAGGAAUCUUUUGCUAGUCCUAAAAACACUAGCGAAUAAGGGGUGGGCAAGUUCUGGUGUCAGCCGCCGCGGUAAAACCAGCACCUCAAGUGGUCAGGAGGAUUAUUGGGCCUAAAGCAUCCGUAGCUUGCUCUGUAAGUUUCCGGUUAAAUCCAUUAGCUCAACUAAUGGCCUGCCGGAAAUACUGCAGAACUAGGAAGUGGGAGAGGUAGACGGUACUCGGUAGGAAGGGGUAAAAUCCUUUGAUCUAUUGAUGACCACCUGUGGCGAAGGCGGUCUACCAGAACACGUUCGACAGUGAGGGAUGAAAGCUGGGGGAGCAAACCGGAUUAGAUACCCGGGUAGUCCCAGCCGUAAACGAUGCAGACUCGAUGAUGCACUGGCUUGUGGCCAGUGCAGUGUCGCAGGGAAGCCGUUAAGUUUGCCGCCUGGGAAGUACGUACGCAAGUAUGAAACUUAAAGGAAUUGGCGGGGGAGCACCACAAGGGGUGAAGCCUGCGGUUCAAUUGGAUUCAACGCCGGGA